UACUGAAUAGUAAUGAGAAGUUAGGUUGAAAGGACAGUGCCACAAUGAUGACAUCAUAUUUGCUACUCUUGACAGCUGGGGUGACGAUAGCUUUAAACCACCAUGAUUAUAACUGAGGCACACAAAAUAAUGAUUUGGGGGCUACUUACAGAGUAAGCAGUUUUUACAUAAAGAUUUCCCCCCCAGGACUCGUCAGGAAGCUGGAUAACAGAACAAGUGCAAUGUAAGUAAUUUUGUGUGUGCAUGUGGUCCCAUUACAAGGAAUACCCAAUGGCAAAUGAGCACUAAAGAUCCCUCAACACACACAUUGAAUGUAUUGUUCCCUGAGAGCAAUUGUAGAUAGAGGAGUGGGUGGGAAGUCUGAAGUCAGGGCAUUGUUUCUGCCUAUCUGAGUAGGCUGGUUUUUGAUAUUUGUGGGAGCUAGUGGUCGUUAACUCAUUUACCCCCUAUUUGGUGGACUCUGGUUCCCCCAUCUUAAGUGCUGAGUCAGGGGCCUAACCGGGCAGCUUUAACUAUUUGUUUGUUGUAGGUGCUAGAAGACCAGAAAAUGAAAUGGUGGAGUUUGAGGCUGGAUAGACAGUUUGAAAGGUAAGUAUUGAAAAACACUUGAAUUUGGGUCAGUAC
ensembl:processed_transcript Gas5 growth arrest specific 5